CGCACAUAAGACAUGCAAGUCGAACGGAAGUCGUUGUAAUGAUGCCCUCAUGAACAGAGAACUGUCAAAGUGAUUGAAGAUUGACUUACAACAAUGGCUUAGUGGCGGACUGGUGAGUAACACGUAAGCAACCUGCCUAUUAGAGGGGAAUAACAGUGAGAAAUCAUUGCUAAUACCGCAUAUGCCCGGCCAUUCACAUGAACGGCCGGGGAAAGGAGUAAUCCGCUAAUAGAUGGGCUUGCGUCUGAUUAGUUAGUUGGUGGGGUAACGGCCUACCAAGACAACGAUCAGUAGCCGGACUGAGAGGUUCAACGGCCACAUUGGGACUGAGAUACGGCCCAGACUCCUACGGGAGGCAGCAGUCGGGAAUAUUGCGCAAUGGAGGAAACUCUGACGCAGUGACGCCGCGUAUAGGAAGAAGGUUUUCGGAUUGUAAACUAUUGUCUGCAGGGAAGAAAUAAGACUGUACCUGCAAAGAAAGCUCCGGCUAACUACGUGCCAGCCGCAGC
rnacentral:rRNA from 1 species